UACGAAAGGGUGCAAACGUUGCUCGGAAUUAUUGGGCGUAAAGCGCACGUAGGCGGCGCUGCAAGUCCCAUGUGAAAGCCCACGGCUUAACCGUGGAAGUGCAUGGGAAACUGCAGUGCUUGAGUACUUAAGAGGAUCGCGGAAUUCCCGGUGUAGAGGUGAAAUUCGUAGAUAUCGGGAGGAACACCGAUGGCGAAGGCAGGUCUCUGGGCAUUAACUGACGCUGAGGAGCGAAAGCAUGGGGAGCGAACAGG
rnacentral:rRNA from 1 species